rnacentral:rRNA from 1 species
AGGACGAACGCUGGCGGCGCGCUUAACACAUGCAAGUCGAACGUGAAGCUGGAGCUUGCUCCGGUGGAAAGUGGCGAACGGGUGCGUAACACGUGAGCAACCUGCCCCGAAGACUGGGAUAAACACCGGGAAACCGGUGCUAAUACCGGAUACCUUCUUCCGAUCGCAUGGUUGGAUGAAGAAAUGGAUUCCGCUUCGGGAUGGGCUCGCGGCCUAUCAGCUUGUUGGUGAGGUAACGGCCCACCAAGGCGACGACGGGUAG